GGUCAAGCGAAUAAGCGCACACGGUGGAUGCCUUGGCGGUCAGAGGCGAUGAAGGACGUGGCAGCCUGCGAAAAGUAUCGGGGAGCUGGCAACAAGCUUUGAUCCGGUAAUGUCCGAAUGGGGAAACCCACCCGCUUGCGGGUAUCCUGCAGUGAAUACAUAGCUGCUGGAAGCGAACCUGGUGAACUGAAAUAUCUAAGUAACCAGAGGAAAAGAAAUCAACCGAGAUUCCGUAAGUAGCGACGAGCGAACGCGGACUAGCCCUUAAGCUGGAUUGGUUCUAGGAAAACGCUCUGGAAAGAGCGGCCAUAGAAGGUGAUAGCCCUGUAUCUGAAAGGGCCAUUCCAGUGAAGACGAGUAGGGCGGGGCACGUGAAACCCUGUCUGAACAUGGGGGGACCAUCCUCCAAGGCUAAAUACUACUGACCGACCGAUAGUGAACCAGUACCGUGAGGGAAAGGCGAAAAGAACCCCGGAGAGGGGAGUGAAAUAGAACCUGAAACCGUGUGCGAAGCAGUAGGGAGCUCCGCAAGGAGUGACUGCGUACCUUUUGUAUAAUGGGUCAGCGACUUACUGUUCGUGGCAAGCUUAACCGUAUAGGGGAGGCGAAGGGAAACCGAGUCUGAUAAGGGCGCAUAGUCGCGGGCAGUAGACCCGAAACCGGGUGAUCUAGUCAUGCCCAGGGUGAAGGUGCGGUAACACGCACUGGAGGCCCGAACCCACUCCCGUUGCAAAGGUAGGGGAUGAGGUGUGAUUAGGAGUGAAAAGCUAAUCGAACCCGGAGAUAGCUGGUUCUCCUCGAAAGCUAUUUAGGUAGCGCCUCAUAUGUAUCCUCUCGGGGGUAGAGCACUGUUAUGGCUAGGGGUCAUCGCGACUUACCAAACCAUUGCAAACUCCGAAUACCGAGACGGACUGUAUGGGAGACACACGGCGGGUGCUAACGUCCGUCGUGAAAAGGGAAACAACCCAGACCCACAGCUAAGGUCCCAAAUUUUGUGCUAAGUGGAAAACCAUGUGGAAAGGCACAGACAGCCAGGAGGUUGGCUUAGAAGCAGCCACCCUUUAAAGAAAGCGUAAUAGCUCACUGGUCGAGUCGGUCUGCGGGGAAGAUUUAACGGGGCUAAGCACAGAACCGAAGCUUGGGGUGCAUACUUUGUAUGCGCGGUAGAGGAGCGUUCCGUAAGCCGUUGAAGGUGGAUUGAGAAGUCUGCUGGAGGUAUCGGAAGUGCGAAUGCUGACAUGAGUAACGAUAAUGCGGGUGAAAAACCCGCACGCCGAAAGCCCAAGGUUUCCUUGCGCAACGUUAAUCGGCGCAGGGUGAGUCGGCCCCUAAGGCGAGGACGAAAGUCGUAGUCGAUGGGAAGCAGGUUAAUAUUCCUGCACCUCGCGUAAGUGCGAUGGAGGGACGGAGAAGGUUAGGUGUACCAGGCGUUGGUUGUCCUGGGGAAAGGCGGUAGGUUUGGAUCUUUGGCAAAUCCGGGAUCCUCUAAGACCGAGCACCGAGACGAGCCUUUAUGGCGAAGUCACUGAUACCACGCUUCCAGGAAAAGCUCCUAAGCUUCAGCUUACGCAGACCGUACCGUAAACCGACACAGGUGGGUAGGAUGAGAAUUCUCAGGCGCUUGAGAGAACUCGGGUGAAGGAACUAGGCAACAUGGCACCGUAACUUCGGGAGAAGGUGCACCCUUUUUGGCUCGUGCGAGCUAUAGCUGAAGAGGGUCGCAGUAACCAGGCCGCUGCGACUGUUUAUCAAAAACACAGCACUCUGCAAACACGAAAGUGGACGUAUAGGGUGUGACGCCUGCCCGGUGCUGGAAGGUUAAUUGAUGGGGUCAGCCGCAAGGCGAAGCUCUUGAUCGAAGCCCCAGUAAACGGCGGCCGUAACUAUAACGGUCCUAAGGUAGCGAAAUUCCUUGUCGGGUAAGUUCCGACCUGCACGAAUGGCGUAACGACAGCGGCGCUGUCUCCACCCGAGACUCAGUGAAAUUGAAAUCGCUGUGAAGAUGCAGCGUUCCCGUGGCAAGACGGAAAGACCCCGUGAACCUUUACUAUAGCUUUACACUGAACGUUGAGUUCGUCUGUGUAGGAUAGGUGGGAGGCUAUGAAACUGUGGCGCCAGCUGCAGUGGAGCCAUCCUUGAAAUACCACCCUGUCGUGCUUGACGUUCUAACCUGGGCCCAUUAUCUGGGUCGGGGACCGUGUAUGGUGGGUAGUUUGACUGGGGCGGUCUCCUCCUAAAGAGUAACGGAGGAGCUCGAAGGUACGCUCAGCGCGGUCGGACAUCGCGCACUGUGUGCAAAGGCAUAAGCGUGCUUGACUGCAAGAUCGACGGAUCAAGCAGGUAGGAAACUAGGACUUAGUGAUCCGGUGGUUCUGUAUGGAAGGGCCAUCGCUCAACGGAUAAAAGGUACUCCGGGGAUAACAGGCUGAUACCGCCCAAGAGUUCAUAUCGACGGCGGUGUUUGGCACCUCGAUGUCGGCUCAUCACAUCCUGGGGCUGUAGUCGGUCCCAAGGGUAUGGCUGUUCCAUUUAAAGUGGUACGCGAGCUGGGUUCAGAACGUCGUGAGACAGUUCGGUCCCUAUCUGCCAUGGGCGUUGGAGAUUUGAGAGGGGCUGCUCCUAGUACGAGAGGACCGGAGUGGACGAACCUCUGGUGUUCCGGUUGUCACGCCAGUGGCAUUGCCGGGUAGCUAUGUUCGGAAGCGAUAACCGCUGAAAGCAUCUAAGCGGGAAGCGCGCCUCAAGAUGAGAUCUCCCGGGGCACAAGCCCCCUGAAGGAACCAUGUAGACUACGUGGUUGAUAGGUCAGGUGUGUAAGUACAGCAAUGUAUUGAGCUAACUGAUACUAAUGAUCCGUGCGGCUUGACCAU
rnacentral:rRNA from 1 species